GUGGGAGGUGCUGAUCGGCUGAACUGUCAAAACACUCCGCGCGCUGUGAGAACAAAGCAAGCACACGAACCGUUCUAACGCGGGAAAUACAGCGAGACUGAGGCGCGCGACGUCUGCACGAGACGAGAAUACUUAUGGAAUCUCUUCCAGCUCUCCACUAAGACUCUGGCUUUACUGGAAGCUAACGUCCUGAUCAGCUGUGGCUCGACUCAUUGAUCCAGCCAGAUAUGGAUUAAAACUCUGACAAGCUAGCAGAGGACCCAGCAGAGGGAGAGAGGAAAAGAACGCACUGACCACCAUCGACAGACCAGCCUAUGUGUUUUCAUGCUCCUAACAUAAGAACACACUGGAGAUUCCACCAUAAUGUGAAGGAGAGACUUUGAAUUUCAGCACCAUUUCGGAAACGGAUUCACAAGUUUAAAAAGAAAGGAAAGAAAAGCAAAAACAGUCAAUCAACAAUCCACGUUUGUAUCUUUCAUCACUGCCAUUGACAGAGACAAAACUUGCAUAAAUAGCCUUUUUGUUUCUCAAAACCAGAUUAUAUUUUAAGUACAUCGACAGAAAAAUAAUUCAACCGUUGAU